CCCUGGCACCGCCCCCUGCUCGCCAGGUAAGGGCUGGCACCGCCCCUGCUCGCCAGGUAAGCCCUGGCACCGCCCCUGCUCGCCAGGUAAGCCCUGGCACCGCCCCCUGCUCGCCAGGUAAGCCCUGGCACCGCCCCCUCCCCCGUCCCAGCAGCCCUUCCCUGGCAGGGGGGGGCACUGGGUGGGCUCUGAGGGCCCCUCCCCGCCCCAAACCAGGACGGCAUUCCGUGGGUUUUGGGAUUUAGUGCCCAGCGUGGGGGGAGCAAU